rnacentral:misc_RNA from 1 species
AAGUCGUAACAAGGUUUCCGUAGGUGAACCUGCGGAAGGAUCAUUACCGAGUGCGGGCCCUCUGGGUCCAACCUCCCAUCCGUGUCUCUUGUACCCUGUUGCUUCGGCGGGCCCGCCUUCAUGGCCGCCGGGGGGCUCUCUAGCCCCCGGGCCCGCGCCCGCCGGAGACUCCAACAUUGAACACUGUCUGAAGUUUGCAGUCUGAGUUUUCAUAAAAGAAAAAUCGUUAAAACUUUCAACAACGGAUCUCUUGGUUCCG